GACGAACGCUGGCGGCGUGCUUAACACAUGCAAGUCGAACGGAAAGGCCCUGCUUUUGUGGGGUGCUCGAGUGGCGAACGGGUGAGUAAAACGUGAGUAACCUGCCCUUGACUUUGGGAUAACUUCAGGAAACUGGGGCUAAUACCGGAUAGGAGCUCCUGCUGCAUGGUGGGGGUUGGAAAGUUUCGGCGGUUGGGGAUGGACUCGCGGCUUAUCAGCUUGUUGGUGGGGUAGUGGCUUACCAAGGCUUUGACGGGUAGCCGGCCUGAGAGGGUGACCGGCCACAUUGGGACUGGGGUACGGCCCAGACUCCUACGGGAGGCAGCAGUGGGGAAUAUUGCACAAUGGGCGGAAGCCUGAUGCAGCAAAGCCGCGUGCGGGAUGACGGCCUUCGGGUUGUAAACCGCUUUCGCCUGUGACGAAGCGUGAGUGACGGUAAUGGGUAAAGAAGCACCGGCUAACUACGUG
rnacentral:rRNA from 1 species